rnacentral:rRNA from 1 species
GCCUACGGGAGGCAGCAGUAGGGAAUAUGGCUCAAUGGGGGAAACCCUGAAGCAGCAACGCCGCGUGGAGGAUGAAGGUUUUCGGAUUGUAAACUCCUUUUGUUAGAGAAGAUAAUGACGGUAUCUAACGAAUAAGCACCGGCUAACUCCGUGCCAGCAGCCGCGGUAAUACGGAGGGUGCAAGCGUUACUCGGAAUCACUGGGCGUAAAGAGCGCGUAGGCGGGAUAGCAAGUCAGAUGUGAAAUCCUAUGGCUUAACCAUAGAAUUGCAUUGGAAACUGUUAUUCUCGAGUAUGGGAGAGGUA